UAGCUAAAUGCGGAAGAGAUAAGUGCUGAAAGCAUCUAAGCACGAAACUUGCCCCGAGAUGAGUUCUCCCUGAGACUUUAAGUCUCCUGAAGGAACGUUGAAGACGACGACGUUGAUAGGUCGGGUGUGUAAGCGCAGCGAUGCGUUGAGCUAACCGAUACUAAUGAACCGUGAGGCUUAACCUU
rnacentral:rRNA from 1 species